UACGAAGGGGGCUAGCGUUGUUCGGAAUUACUGGGCGUAAAGCGUAUGCAGGCGGACUUUUAAGUCGGGGGUGAAAUCCCGAGGCUCAACCUCGGAACUGCCUUCGAUACUGGAAGUCUUGAGUCCGGGAGAGGUGAGUGGAACUCCGAGUGUAGAGGUGAAAUUCGUAGAUAUUCGGAAGAACACCAGUGGCGAAGGCGGCUCACUGGUCCGGUACUGACGCUGAGAUACGAAAGCGUGGGGAGCAAACAGG
rnacentral:rRNA from 1 species